UACGGGGGGAGCAAGCGUUGUUCGGAUUUACUGGGCGUAAACGGCUUGUAGGUGGCCACGUCAAGUCGGAUGUGAAAUCUCCCGGCUCAACUGGGAGGGGUCAUUCGAUACUGGCGGGCUCGAGGCCGGUAGGGGGAAGCGGAAUUCCCGGUGUAGUGGUGGAAUGCGUAGAUAUCAGGAGGAACACCAAUGGCGAAGGCAGCUCGCUGGGACGUGACUGACGCUGAGACGCGAAAGCGUGGGGAGCAAACAGG
rnacentral:rRNA from 1 species